rnacentral:lncRNA from 1 species
AGAGAAGGAUUUACUUACUUUUUAGGGGUGGAGAUCCCACUAGGGGGUAGGUGGAUUGGGAUUUGUGCUCCCAUCCCCCUUUCCAACUUUCUUUUAUGUUGUUCCAACAACCUUUUCACUAAUGGCCCCAAUUGGCCUUAUUGAAGAAGAAAAUCAAUUGACUUCCACAAUACUUCUUCUAGCCACAUUCUCACACGGUGAAAAAGGAAGCAAAUGACUCAAGGGACGGUAAGGUGAAUUUAUUCAAGAGGAGAGUCUUGCUGGAUGAAGAGGAUAGUUUGGGCCCAUUAUGUAGGGAAUCAGAGGAAUCAGGUGCUCAUUUAAUUUUUUUUCUUGUAAAUUUGCUUCCUCUCUUUGGAGUAGAUGUUAUAGCUGGUUGGGGUAUGAGUCAGUGCUACCCAUCAAUAGUUGUAUGCACUUUAUGAGCAUUUUCAUGGUCCAUGGAAUAAGAAAGAGAAACGCUGUUGGAGGUCGAUAUGGGGCACUAUGGCUUGGACCAUAUGGUUAACUCGAAACAACAUUGUAUUUAGGGAAGGUAGUAGUGACUUGGAGCAGGCUAUGGAACUUGUCCAAUGGAGGUCGUGGUGCUGGAUUGCUGCCAAGGAAUAUCGGUGUGCUUGCCUCUCCCAUAUUUGAUAUGCAGGUAUAUUGGGAUUGAGGCGAUGGGGGUUGGAAGAUUAUUCAGAGGGAAUUGAGUCUACUGGUUUUGUGUGGGUGUGGGAUCUGUUUGAUUACCUCACUUGGACUGGUUUGUUUUAUUUGUUCAUCUAGCAGGGCCGUGUAUAGACAUUUGAG